CAACGCCGCGUGCAGGAUGACGGCCUUCGGGUUGUAAACUGCUUUUAAGGGUGACGAGGAAGGACGGUAGCCCUUGAAGAAGUCACGGCUAACUACGUGC
rnacentral:rRNA from 1 species